UACGAAGGGGGCUAGCGUUGCUCGGAAUUACUGGGCGUAAAGCGCACGUAGGCGGACUCUUAAGUCGGGGGUGAAAGCCCAGGGCUCAACCCUGGAAUUGCCUUCGAUACUGGGAGUCUUGAGUGUGGAAGAGGUUGGUGGAACUGCGAGUGUAGAGGUGAAAUUCGUAGAUAUUCGCAAGAACACCAGUGGCGAAGGCGGCCAACUGGUCCACUACUGACGCUGAGGUGCGAAAGCGUGGGGAGCAAACAGG
rnacentral:rRNA from 1 species